rnacentral:rRNA from 1 species
UACCCGCUGAACUUAAGCAUAUCAAUAAGCGGAGGAAAAGAAACCAACAGGGAUUGCCUCAGUAACGGCGAGUGAAGCGGCAAAAGCUCAAAUUUGAAAUCCUUCGGGAAUUGUAUUUUGAAGGUGGGUUUGGUUAGGAAAAGUUACUUUAAGUCCAUUGGAAAAUGGCGCCAUGGAGGGUGAUAGCCCCGUAAAAGUACCCCUUUUCCUUUUAUCCAUUCCCUCCAAAGAGUCGAGUUGUUUGGGAAUGCAGCUCUAAGUGGGUGGUAAAUUCCAUCUAAAGCUAAAUAUUGGCGAGAGACCGAUAGCGAACAAGUACAGUGAUGGAAAGAUGAAAAGCACUUUGAAAAGAGAGUGAAAAAGUACGUGAAAUUGUUGAAAGGGAAGGGCUUGCAAGCAGACACAACCUCGGUUGGGCCAGCAUCGGAGUGGGGGGAGACAAAAAAGAAAAGGAAUGUAACUCAUUCGAGUAUUAUAGCCUUUUUCUCAUAUCUCCACCCCCUUCCGAGGCCUGCGAUCUCAAG